rnacentral:rRNA from 1 species
UGGUUAAGCUAGAAAGAGCGCAGGGUGGAUGCCUUGGCACUAAGAGCCGAUGAAAGACGUGAUAAGCUGCGAAAAGCUUCGGGGAGGAGCAAAUAUCCUUUGAUCCGGAGAUCUCUGAAUGGGGAAACCUACUUGAGUGUACCUCAAGUGACGUAUGGUGAAUACAUAGCCAUACGCCGGGAACCCGGUGAACUGAAACAUCUAAGUAGCCGGAGGAAGAGAAAGAAACAUCGAUUCCGAAAGUAGCGGCGAGCGAAAUUGGAAGAGCCCAAACCGGAAUGCGUGCAUUCCGGGGUUAUGGACCACGUUAUGUGACCCGUAUGGUAAUGGAACAGUCUGGGAAGUCAGACCAGAGAGGGUGAAAGUCCCGUACAUGAAACCAGAAGGGAGCUAGUGGGAUCCAGAGUACUGCGAGACACGUGGAACCUUGCAGGAAGUCGGGGGGACCACCCCCCAAGGCUAAAUACUCCUUAGUGACCGAUAGCGCAUAGUACUGUGAAGGAAAGGUGAAAAGGACCCCGGGAGGGGAGUGAAAGAGAACCUGAAACCCUGUGUUUACAAGCUGUGGAAGCACGUUAAGGUGCGACCGCGUACUUUUUGUAGAACGGUCCGGCGAGUUGCGGAUGCUGGCAAGGUUAAGCACUUUAGGUGCGGAGCCGAAGCGAGAGCAAGUCUGAAUAGGGCGUCAAGUCAGCAUGUGCAGACCCGAAACCGGGUGAUCUAUCCAUGUCCAGGUUGAAGCGAAAGUAAAAUUUCGUGGAGGACCGAACGCACAUCCGUUGAAAAGGGUGGCGAUGAGGUGUGGAUAGGGGAGAAAUUCCAAUCGAACCCGGAGAUAGCUGGUUCUCCUCGAAAUAGCUUUAGGGCUAGCCUCGUAUUAGUCUGGUGGAGGUAGAGCACUGAAUUUCCUAGGGGGCGUCAAAGCCUACCGAAGAAUAUCAAACUCCGAAUGCCAUACAGAUGAUGUACGGGAGUCAGACGGCACGAGAUAAGUUGGGUCGUCAAAAGGGAAAGAGCCCAGACCUGCAGCUAAGGUCCCAAAGUGUGUGUUAAGUGGAAAAGGAUGUGGGAUUUCAAAGACAACUAGGAUGUUGGCUCAGAAGCAGCCACACAUUCAAAGAGUGCGUAAUAGCUCACUAGUCGAGAGGUCCUGCGCCGAAAAUGUCCGGGGCUGAAACACAACACCGAAGCUCAGGAAUGUAUUUAUACAUUGGUAGAGGAGCAUUCUUAAAGGGGCGAAGCAGUACCGAUAAGGAGCUGUGGACUUUUAAGAAGAGAGAAUGCCGGAAUGAGUAGCGAGAUGGAGGUGGGAAUCCUCCAGGCCGAAUAUCUAAGGUUUCCAGGGUAAAGCUGAUCUGCCCUGGGUAAGUCGGGGCCUAAGGCAAGGCUGAGAAGCGUAGCUGAUGGACAACAGGUUUAGAUUCCUGUACCACAUGGUAUCAGAACUGUGGGGACGCAGAGGGAUAAGAUGACCGGGGGACAGAUUCCCGGGCAAGCGUAGGAGGUGUCAGGUAGGCAAAUCCGCCUGAUAAGCCAAAGACGUGACGCGGACCGAACUAAAGUAGGGAAGCAUCCGAUUCCAGCUGCCGAGAAAAGCCGCUAUUGUGUACCAUGUGCCCGUACCGUAAACCGACACAGGUGGAUGAGGAGAGAAUCCUAAGGCCGGCGGGAGAAGCAUUGUUAAGGAACUCGGCAAAAUGACCCCGUAACUUCGGGAUAAGGGGUGCCAGAGAGAUCUGGCCGCAGAGAAUAGGCUCAAGCAACUGUUUAGCAAAAACACAGGUCUAUGCGAAACCGUAAGGUGAUGUAUAUGGGCUGACGCCUGCCCGGUGCUGGAAGGUUAAGAGGAGAGGUUAGAGCAAUCGAAGCUUUGAAUUGAAGCCCCAGUAAACGGCGGCCGUAACUAUAACGGUCCUAAGGUAGCGAAAUUCCUUGUCGGGUAAGUUCCGACCCGCACGAAAGGCGUAAUGAUUUGAGCGCUGUCUCGACAAUGCACCCGGUGAAAUUGAAAUACCAGUGAAGAUGCUGGUUACCUGCGCCAGGACGGAAAGACCCCAUGGAGCUUUACUCCAGCUUGAUACUGGGAUUCGGUAAUGCAUGCACAGGAUAGGUGGGAGGCUACGAGUACGGAACUCCGGUUUCGUAUGAGCCGCUGUUGGGAUACCACCCUUGCGUUACUGGGUUUCUAACCAUGGUCCAUGAUCUGGAUCGGGGACAAUGUCAGGUGGGGAGUUUGACUGGGGCGGUCGCCUCCGAAAGGGUAUCGGAGGCGCUCAAAGGUUCCCUCAGAAUGGUUGGNNNNNNNNNNCUCAAAGGUUCCCUCAGAAUGGUUGGAAACCAUUCGAAGAGUGCAAAGGCAGAAGGGAGCUUGACUGCGAGACCGACGGGUCGAGCAGGUAGGAAACUAGGACUUAGUGAUCCGGUGGUAUGAAAGUGGGAUUGCCAUCGCUCAACGGAUAAAAGCUACCCUGGGGAUAACAGGCUUAUCACUCCCAAGAGUUCACAUCGACGGAGUGGUUUGGCACCUCGAUGUCGGCUCAUCGCAUCCUGGGGCUGAAGUAGGUCCCAAGGGUUGGGCUGUUCGCCCAUUAAAGCGGUACGCGAGCUGGGUUCAGAACGUCGUGAGACAGUUCGGUCCCUAUCCGGCGCAGGCGGAGGAUAUUUGAGAGGAGCUGUCCUUAGUACGAGAGGACCGGGAUGGACGGACCGCUGGUGUACCGGUUGAGCUGCUAAGCUCAUGGCCGGGUAGCCAAGUCUGGCAGGGAUAAACGCUGAAGGCAUCUAAGCGUGAAGCCCCCCUCAAGAUGAGAUAUCCCAUUCGAAAGAAGUAAGACCCCUUGAAGACGACGAGGUAGAUAGGGCAGAGGUGGAAGUGCAGUAAUGUACGGAGCUGACUGUUACUAAUCGGUCGAGGGCUUAUCCAG